rnacentral:rRNA from 1 species
GAUGAACGCUGGCGGCGUGCCUAAGACAUGCAAGUCGAGUGGGUUUAGACCCACGGCAAACGGGUGAGUAAUACCUAGGAACGUACCAUAAGUCGAGGAUAACCCAUCGAAAGGUGGAAUAAUACUCGAUGUGACCGCAAGGUUAAAGUCGCAAGACGCUUAUGAAGCGGCCUGGGCACCAUCAGCUAGUUGGUAAGGUAAUGGCUUACCAAGGCUAUGACGGUUAGGGGCCCCGAGAGGGGAAACCUCCACACUGGAACUGAGACACGGUCCAGACUCCUACGGGAGGCAGCAGUUUGGAAUUUUGGACAAUGGGCGAAAGCCUGAUCCAGCGACGCCGCGUGGUGGAUGAAGGUCUUCGGAUCGUAAACACCUUUUGUAUGGGACGAAUUUUUAUGACGGUACCAUGCGAAUAAGAGGUUGCUAACUCUGUGCCAGCAGCCGCGGUAAU